GACGAACGCUGGCGGCGUGCCUAAUACAUGCAAGUAGAACGCUGAAGGAGGAGCUUGCUCUUCUGGAUGAGUUGCGAACGGGUGAGUAACGCGUAGGUAACCUGCCUGGUAGCGGGGGAUAACUAUUGGAAACGAUAGCUAAUACCGCAUAACAGUAGAUGUUGCAUGACAUUUACUUAAAAGGUGCAAUUGCAUCACUACCAGAUGGACCUGCGUUGUAUUAGCUAGUUGGUGGGGUAACGGCUCACCAAGGCGACGAUACAUAGCCGACCUGAGAAGGUGAUCGGCCACACUGGGACUGAGACACGGCCCAGACUCCUACGGGAGGCAGCAGUAGGGAAUCUUCGGCAAUGGACGGAAGUCUGACCGAGCAACGCCGCGUGAGUGAAGAAGGUUUUCGGAUCGUAAAGCUCUGUUGUAAGAGAAGAACGAGUGUGAGAGUGGAAAGUUCACACUGUGACGGUAUCUUACCAGAAAGGGACGGCUAACUACGUG
rnacentral:rRNA from 1 species